ACUCCUACGGGAGGAAGCAGUGGGGAAUAUUGCACAAUGGGCGAAAGCCUGAUGCAGCGACGCCGCGUGAGGGAUGACGGCCUUCGGGUUGUAAACCUCUUUCAGCAGGGAAGAAGCGAAAGUGACGGUACCUGCAGAAAAAGCGCCGGCUAACUACGUGCCAGCAGCCGCGGUAAU
rnacentral:rRNA from 1 species